GCGGGUAUCGUAUAGUGGUAGUACGGCAGUUUUCCAAACUGUCGGCGGGAGUUCGAUUCUCCCUACCCGCUCCA
rnacentral:tRNA from 1 species